CUGGAUUGUUGGCAUCAAUUCUUCUUGCCGUUGUUGGUUGUUCCAUGGGUGAAAUACGUACUUCCGAAGCAGUUAUAUGUGUGAUAGCUUCCCAGAUCGCUAAUUUUGGUGAGAGCAUAAUAGGUGCUUCACUCCAAGGGAAAGAAGGAUUUCGAUGGCUUAACAAUGAUGCUGUUAAUGUCCUUAACAUAUCUAUGGGCAGCAUUUUAGCAGUCCUGAUGCAGCAAGUUGUACUCCGGAACUUGCACUUGUAAAUUCAUAAAAUUAUUUUAGGAGCUCAGAUGUCUUAUUUCUAAUCUGCUUUAAGAUUGUCAAGCAGUACAUACAUUUCAGCAAUGAAGAAAGUGUGAUAAGGGAUAGAUGAAGGCAUUUUGCCUUGUUUCACUUCUGGCAGUUGUGUCAAUUGCAUGGUUAUGUUCAAACAAAGAUACCCUCCCUUAUCAGCAGAUUGUCCGAGUUGCGCGGACAUCUUUCAUGAUGUAGACCCAAGAUUUCAGUUUUUCUCCACGUUACAGUUAAGAACCAAGGUGCUUCCGUAAGUAACUUGUUUAUUUUGCAGAUAACAUUCCCUCUAUGGUUAUAAGGUCCAAAACUCCCCUUUCAUUUAUCUGUACUAUUAUUAUUUGACAUGCUAAUUCCUCAGUUCAAAGUAAUGAAUGGAGAAAGUUCAACUGAGAGACUGGAAUUAUUUUAGCAAUUCUUCAUCAUCAGCCCAGCGGCAAAACAAUCUGCAAA
rnacentral:misc_RNA from 1 species